UGUGUAAAAGCGCUGUGCUGUUUUGUAGUUUUCCUUGAAGGGAUGACUGUUGUGGAUUGUAUUUUGCGUGUUUGAGUACAGUGUGCUGUUAUUUUGAAUGUUUAUAUGUUGUGGCUUGAAAUCCACGGAGAUGUUAUUUACAUAAUGCGGCCGCCAUUUUGUUUUCGCUCCGCGGAUUUCGGCAGCCUUUGAUGUCAAUUUGUUCUGUUUUGUAGACUUUUGUAUGGAGAGAAAGGAGGUUUUAACAGCAAACCUAUGUUGAUGUCUGCAGGUGUCUGCAGUUUCUGUUUCCCAAAACCAGGGAGAGGAGGAGGAUGUGGGAGGUUGCCCUAAGAAGGGACUGUUUUGUUGCCUCUGACAGGACACUGCUCUGCAGUGAGCACUUCAGGAGAGAGGACUCUGACAGGACUGGGCAGACUGUCCGGCUUAAAGAUGGUGUUGUGCCAACCAUUUUCAACUUUCCAGCUCAUCUUCAAAGGUCGGUAGCAACAAGAACCACAACCACUUCUAGAAGGGCUGAUGACAACCUGCCAAUGGACUUGAUGCCUGAUGUUGCUGUACGUAGACACCAAUGUCCUGUGUCCAUCAUGGAGGACGACUCAUAUUGAUGAGCAUCGGACCGAUUCCCUCACAUCAGAGGAUCCUCACUCCUCCGGGAUCUAUUUGGAAAGUUUCUUCGUUUCCUGUAAGUGAUCUCCUGUGCGCUCUGUGCUCCAUGAUGACUCAGUCAAGUUCACUGCAGCGAUAUGAUGACACACGCCCAGUGUGAGAAGAUAUUAUUAAAAACUAUUAACGAUUCGGCUCCGUAACUGCGAGGUUAAAUGGAAUCUGAACGUAAUUUGCUGUAAGUUGUUUUAUAUAUUUUUAACUUAAAGGUUCGUGUGGAACAGAUAUGUCGCACGAGCAAAACUAAGCCGUUGGUUUUAACGUAAAUGAUGAAUUGGAUCAAUAAUCUGCUUCAGUUCACCACCUCAUGUCUGCGUCGCCACUUCCCCGUCUCCAAAACGUUCGUACGCAUGAGUCAGAGUUUGCGUGGAAAGAUGCAAAUUCUUUUUUUUUUUCAAAGUUUGUUUUGAUAAAUCUCUGCGUUUGCGUCAGAAGUGGCGUACGCACCUUUCAGGCCCCGCUUUGUGCGCACGCAACGGUUAUAAAUGAGACCCCUGAUCUUUCAAAGUCCUCUUAUCAUAGAUAAACUGAUAUUGCACUAAAUUAUACAUGUAAGUAUUCAUAGGAAUGUACCUGUAAGCGAUCCUUCUUCCGUGUUCAUCGCAGACAUGGUCUGACUUCUCCUUGUCUUCCUUGACUCCCCUGUGCCUCAGAACCUGGAAAAAAAAUACAUUUCUCUAGUUUCAGAACCACUGUUAUAAUCAGACAUUCAAAUCAGAUCAGUCAAAUCAUUAAACUAAGUUUCCAUCAUGUAAACUAAAACAUACCUGACAUGGUGUUUCUGAGUGUGAGGCUGCUCGUGGUUGCUCUGCUAUUUAUACUAGACAAGCAAAACCGAAAGCAUUUGAUGCACUGGAAGAACAGGUUCUCGCCAGUUCUCUGUCAUCUGGAAAAUAUGACACACACACACACACACACACACACACACACACACUUAACAGGAAUAGAGGGGCGCGGACAGGAUGUGGCCGAGGUGCAGAAAAGGAAAGUGAAACACAUUGUUAAAUAAAUUAUGCUUUAUUAGAACACGAACUGUGUGUUAUUCUGUGCUCACAAACUCAAUUUCAUUUCGUUAGGAUGUCUGAUUUACCCACAUCUCCUGAAAUGAGUGGUUUUCUCUCAAGGCUCAACAGUAACAGUAAAGGGAAAUUUCACAAAACCUUUCCCGUGCACGUUUAAAUUUGACAAACAUCAUAAGGUUUGAACUUGAUUUUCUGUUGUCUCGUCUAUGAAUCUGUUUUGCCUUUUCCCGAUGAUUCUCUUAAUGUGUCCAAUAUUGUUCGGUUGUAGACUUAUCCAAUGUUAGUUUUUUUUGGACAACGGGGAUGAACACAACUGUGUUGUCCAGUGUUCACCACGACAUGAACUCUCUGACGAACGUCUUUCUAACUCUGACUUGACUCUGUAUGUCGAUGAGUCCUCUUCACGUCACCGUGGUUUUACUAUCAGGGCCCCUCGGCUUUGGAACGGCCCCCUGGUACUAACUGUUAGUUUUUCUGUUUGUUCAGAUAACGAUGUUCUCCUCUCGAGUUCUCUUCCUCAGGAGAGGCAGCACGGCAGUAUGCAAAUUGGCUACUGGUAAAACACCCAUAGUCUACACUGACUCCAGAUAUGCAUUCAGUGUAACUCAUGAUUUUGAUAACCUUUGGCGAAACAGA